GACGAUGGGUCCAAGCGUUGUUCGGAAUUAUUGGGCGUAAAGCGGGUGUAGGUGGCUCUAUAAGUCAGAAGUGAAAGCCCCGGGCUUAACCCGGGAAGUGCUUUUGAUACUGCAGAGCUUGAAUGUGGGAGAGGGUAGUGGAAUUCCAGGUGUAGUGGUGAAAUACGUAGAGAUUGGGAAGAACACCAGUGGCGAAGGCGGCUAUCUGGACGGUUUCUGACACUAAGACUCGAAAGCGUGGGGAGCAAACAGG
rnacentral:rRNA from 1 species